AGAGUUUGAUCAUGGCUCAGAUUGAACGCUGGCGGCAGGCCUAACACAUGCAAGUCGAACGGUAACAGGAAGCAGCUUGCUGCUUUGCUGACGAGUGGCGGACGGGUGAGUAAUGUCUGGGAAACUGCCUGAUGGAGGGGGAUAACUACUGGAAACGGUGGCUAAUACCGCAUAACGUCGCAAGACCAAAGAGGGGGACCUUCGGGCCUCUUGCCAUCAGAUGUGCCCAGAUGGGAUUAGCUGGUUGGUGAGGUAACGGCUCACCAAGGCGACGAUCCCUAGCUGGUCUGAGAGGAUGACCAGCCACACUGGAACUGAGACACGGUCCAGACUCCUACGGGAGGCAGCAGUGGGGAAUAUUGCACAAUGGGCGCAAGCCUGAUGCAGCCAUGCCGCGUGUAUGAAGAAGGCCUUCGGGUUGUAAAGUACUUUCAGCGGGGAGGAAGGUGUUGUGGUUAAUAACCACAGCAAUUGACGUUACCCGCAGAAGAAGCACCGGCUAACUCCGUGCCAGCAGCCGCGGUAAUACGGAGGGUGCAAGCGUUAAUCGGAAUUACUGGGCGUAAAGCGCACGCAGGCGGUCUGUCAAGUCGGAUGUGAAAUCCCCGGGCUCAACCUGGGAACUGCAUUCGAAACUGGCAGGCUUGAGUCUUGUAGAGGGGGGUAGAAUUCCAGGUGUAGCGGUGAAAUGCGUAGAGAUCUGGAGGAAUACCGGUGGCGAAGGCGGCCCCCUGGACAAAGACUGACGCUCAGGUGCGAAAGCGUGGGGAGCAAACAGGAUUAGAUACCCUGGUAGUCCACGCCGUAAACGAUGUCUACUUGGAGGUUGUGCCCUUGAGGCGUGGCUUCCGGAGCUAACGCGUUAAGUAGACCGCCUGGGGAGUACGGCCGCAAGGUUAAAACUCAAAUGAAUUGACGGGGGCCCGCACAAGCGGUGGAGCAUGUGGUUUAAUUCGAUGCAACGCGAAGAACCUUACCUGGUCUUGACAUCCACGGAAGUCUUCAGAGAUGAGAAUGUGCCUUCGGGAACCGUGAGACAGGUGCUGCAUGGCUGUCGUCAGCUCGUGUUGUGAAAUGUUGGGUUAAGUCCCGCAACGAGCGCAACCCUUAUCCUUUGUUGCCAGCGAUUAGGUCGGGAACUCAAAGGAGACUGCCAGUGAUAAACUGGAGGAAGGUGGGGAUGACGUCAAGUCAUCAUGGCCCUUACGACCAGGGCUACACACGUGCUACAAUGGCGCAUACAAAGAGAAGCGACCUCGCGAGAGCAAGCGGACCUCAUAAAGUGCGUCGUAGUCCGGAUUGGAGUCUGCAACUCGACUCCAUGAAGUCGGAAUCGCUAGUAAUCGUGGAUCAGAAUGCCACGGUGAAUACGUUCCCGGGCCUUGUACACACCGCCCGUCACACCAUGGGAGUGGGUUGCAAAAGAAGUAGGUAGCUUAACCUUCGGGAGGGCGCUUACCACUUUGUGAUUCAUGACUGGGGUGAAGUCGUAACAAGGUAACCGUAGGGGAACCUGCGGUUG
rnacentral:rRNA from 1 species